CCUACGUGGGGCUGCAGUGGGGAAUAUUGGACAAUGGGCGAAAGCCUGAUCCAGCCAUGCCGCGUGUGUGAAGAAGGCCUUCGGGUUGUAAAGCACUUUCAGUGGGGAAGAAAGCCUUGGGGCUAAUACCCUCGAGGAAGGACAUCACCCACAGAAGAAGCACCGGCUAACUCCGUGCCAGCAGCCGCGGUAAUACGGAGGGUGCGAGCGUUAAUCGGAAUUACUGGGCGUAAAGCGCGCGUAGGCGGUCUGAUAAGCCGGUUGUGAAAGCCCCGGGCUCAACCUGGGGACGGCAUCCGGAACUGUCAGGCUAGAGUGCAGGAGAGGAAGGUAGAAUUCCCGGUGUAGCGGUGAAAUGCGUAGAGAUCGGGAGGAAUACCAGUGGCGAAGGCGGCCUUCUGGACUGACACUGACGCUGAGGUGCGAAAGCGUGGGUAGCAAACAGGAUUAGAUACCCCAGUAGUC
rnacentral:rRNA from 1 species